rnacentral:misc_RNA from 1 species
UACCCAAUAUCUUGUUAAAACAAGAUAUUGGGUAUUUUUUGUUUUCUUCUGUUUGAUUCCCAUCGAUUUUGGAUUCUAAAUCCUCAUUAACGAGUUUAACGACGAGAUUGAUUAUCGUCUUUUUCUUGAUAUUUCGUGUAAGUCAGAGUAGGCACGAAUUCCCCCAAUUUAUGACCUACCAUAUAAUCGGUUAUAUAAAUAGGUAAAUGCUCCUUUCCAUUAUGAAUAGCAAUCGUAUGGCCAAUCAUUGAGAGUGUAAUGGUAGAUGCCCGAGACCAAGUUACUAUUGUUUCUUUCUCCUUCCUCAUGUUGAGUUUUUCAAUCUUUCUGGUUAAAUGAUUAGCUACAAAAGGAUCUUCCUUUUCGACAAAAGACUUCUUUUUUACAAAAAGCUUUCUUUUUUGCAAACGUCUCACAGUUGAUUACUCCUUUUUUUACAUUGGAAAGGUUGGCAUUCUAUGCCCACUAUCUCGAUCUAAGUAUGGAAGUCAGAAUAAAAUACGAGAAUGGUGAAUAGAAAAAAGAGAAAAUCCUUAAAGGGCGGAUGU